GAUGAACGCUGACGAGAUGCUUAACACAUGCAAGUCGACUAGAAAGGUUCUUCGGGACUGAGUAUGGUGGCGGACGGGUGAGUAACGCGUGAAGAAUCUGCCCUUUAGAAUGGGAUAACUUUGCGAAAGCAGAGCUAAUACCAUAUGAACUUGAUAUAUGGCAUCAAAUAUUAAGUAAAGCUAUGGCGCUAAAGGUGGGCUUCGCGUUCCAUUAGCUAGUUGGCGGGGUAAAAGCCUACCAAGGCGACGAUGGAUAGCCGGCCUUAUAGGGUGUAGGGCCACAAGGGGACUGAGAUACGGCCCUUACUCCUACGGGAGGCAGCAGUGGGGAAUAUUGGACAAUGGGCGUAAGCCUGAUCCAGCAAUUUCGUGUGAAUGAAGAAGGCCUUCGGGUUGUAAAGUUCUUUCAGUAGGGAAGAAAAAAAUGACGGUACCUACAGAAGAAGCCCCGGCUAACUUCGUGCCAGCCGCCGCCGUAACAC
rnacentral:rRNA from 1 species